rnacentral:ncRNA from 1 species
AGUUCGGAUUGAGGGCUGAAAUUCGCCCUCAUGAAGCUGGAAUUGCUAGUAAUCGCCAAUCAGCUACGUGGCGAUGAAUACGUUCCUGAGUCUUGUACUCACAAUAAACGCGCAUGGCAGGUAUAGUAUCUAAAAAGUUAAAAUCUUUUCCUUU